UAAAAUUCUGUUUCAGAAUUGCCUCGAGGAAAAGAGCUACAUUUUCAUUCUAAGUUUUGUGCAAGUUUUGAUCAUAAAGAUUAAUAUUGAACGUAUGAAUUGUGAACAUCGCGAUUCAGAUUGAGUAGCUGGGCUGUCAGCCCGUAUCACGUGUGUUAGCAGUCUGGAUGGAUGGAAGGAGGGAUGGAAGGAGGGAUGGAAGGAAGGAGGGAUGAAAGAGGGAUGCAUGCACGUUACACGUGUGUGCAUUUAAUAUUAACCUUCAAUCUAAUAAAAAUGAAUUUUUUUUUAGUUUUGCACAAAACUUGCAUAACGUCGUUCGAUAUUCUUUUCAUUUCAACUGAUUCCAACAAACUUAAAACUUCUACAAGAGUUAGAAACAAGAUAUAGCGCUCAAUUGCAGAAGGUCCGAAACGGAUCGAAUUGGAAUAACCGAUCGCUUUGGGCAACUGGCGACUUCUCCUCAGUAUUCGAAGGCGAACUAGGUGGCGGCGUGCUUUCACGAUUAUCCGCGUUGUUCGCAACUUCUUGCUUCU